rnacentral:rRNA from 1 species
CCUACGGGUGGCAGCAGUGGGGAAUAUUGGACAAUGGGCGAAAGCCUGAUCCAGCCAUGCCGCGUGUGUGAAGAAGGCCUUCGGGUUGUAAAGCACUUUCAGUGGGGAAGAAAGCCUUGGGGCUAAUACCCUCGAGGAAGGACAUCACCCACAGAAGAAGCACCGGCUAACUCCGUGCCAGCAGCCGCGGUAAUACGGAGGGUGCGAGCGUUAAUCGGAAUUACUGGGCGUAAAGCGCGCGUAGGCGGUCUGAUAAGCCGGUUGUGAAAGCCCCGGGCUCAACCUGGGAACGGCAUCCGGAACUGUCAGGCUAGAGUGCAGGAGAGGAAGGUAGAAUUCCCGGUGUAGCGGUGAAAUGCGUAGAGAUUGGGAGGAAUACCAGUGGCGAAGGCGGCCUUCUGGACUGACACUGACGCUGAGGUGCGAAAGCGUGGGUAGCAAACAGGAUUAGAUACCCCUGUAGUC